rnacentral:misc_RNA from 1 species
GAAUCGGGUCGGGCAGACCCUUGUUGUGAUGGGAUGGGUCCGGACACUUCGAGUCCAGAGUAGCGUUACGUUCAUUGAGGUUAAUGAUGGUUCAUGUCUGUCAAACAUGCAAUGUGUAAUGGAUGAUGGAAGCAGAAGGUUACGAUCAGGUAGAAUCUGGCUUGGUGGCAACUGGUGCAUCAAUAUGGGUACAAGGGAAUGUGGUUAAGAGCCAAGGGUCAAAACAAAAGGUGG